rnacentral:rRNA from 1 species
AUUGAACGCUGGCGGCAGGCCUAACACAUGCAAGUCGAACGAGUGGCGGACGGGUGAGUAAUGUCUGGGACACUGCCUGAUGGAGGGGGAUAACUACUGGAAACGGUAGCUAAUACCGCAUACCAUCAGCUGUGCCCAGAUGGGAUUAGCUUGUUGGUGGGGUAACGGCUCACCAAGGCGACGCUCCCUAGCUGGUCUGAGAGGUUGACAAGCAACACUGGAACGGAGAAAAGGGCCAGACUCCUACGGGAGGCAGCAGUGGGGGAGAUUGGAAAAUGGGCGAAAGCCUGAUGCAGCGACGCCGCGUGGGGGAUGAAGGCUUUAGGGUUGUAAACCUCUUUCGCUAUCGAACGGGUAGGUGGAGAAGAAGCGCCGGCUAACUACGUGCCAGCAGCCGCGGUAAUAC